UACGUAGGGAGCAAGCGUUACUCGGAAUCACUAGGCGUAAAGCGCAGGUAGGAGGUUUGGUAAGUCUGUUGUGAAAGCUCCCGGCUUAACUGGGAGAGGCCAACGGAAAACUGCCAGGCUAGAGUGUGGUAGAGGUAGCUGGAAUUCCCGGUGUAGCGGUGAAAUGCGUAGAUAUCGGGAGGAAUACCUAUGGCGAAAGCAGGCUACUGGACCAUCACUGACUCUGAUCUGCGAAAGCUAGGGGGAGCAAACAGG
rnacentral:rRNA from 1 species